rnacentral:rRNA from 1 species
AGCUUCAAUAGCGUAUAUUAAAGUUGUUGCAGUUAAAAAGCUCGUAGUUGGAUCUGGGGGACGGAGCCGGCGGCUGCCGCUCCCUGGAAAGAUGGGGGUGGUGGCUGCCGAUAGCACCGACCCGAGAGGCCGGUGUGCCCCUAGGGUGCCCUUGGUUGAGUGCCCACGGGGGUGACCGGCCCGAUUACUUUGAGAAAAUUAGAGUGUUCAAAGCAGGCCGGCGGCCUGAAUACCUGUGCAUGGAAUGAUGGAAGAGGACCUCGGUCAUACUUCUGUCGGUCUGAAUGACCCGAGGUAAUGAUUAAGAGGGACGGCCGGGGGCAUCCGUAUUACGGUGGGAGAGGUGAAAUUCGUGGAUCAUCGUAAGACGAACAACAGCGAAAGCAUUUGCCAAGAAUGU